ensembl:miRNA aca-mir-5418 aca-mir-5418
GUCAUAGCAAGCAAUCGAACAGAUAAAUGAAGAGAGGAACUGGGCAUCCUUCCUUUCUCAAUCUGUUGCAUUGCAUGCUGUCUU